CGGGGUGGAGUAAUGUCUGGGAAACUGCCUGAUGGAGGGGGAUAACUACUGGAAACGGUAGCUAAUACCGCAUAACGUCGCAAGACCAAAGUGGGGGGACCUUCGGGGCCUCAUGCCAUAAGAUGUGCCCAGAUGGGAUUAGCUAGUAGGUGGGGUAACGGCUCACCUAGGCGACGAUCCCUAGCUGGUCUGAGAGGAUGACCAGCCACACUGGAACUGAGACACGGUCCAG
rnacentral:rRNA from 1 species